rnacentral:rRNA from 1 species
GUGGGGAAUUUUGGACAAUGGGCGCAAGCCUGAUCCAGCAAUGCCGCGUGCAGGAAGAAGGCCUUCGGGUUGUAAACUGCUUUUGUACGGAACGAAACGGUCCUGGUUAAUACCUGGGGCUAAUGACGGUACCGUAAGAAUAAGCACCGGCUAACUACGUGCCAGCAGCCGCGGUAAUACGUAGGGUGCGAGCGUUAAUCGGAAUUACUGGGCGUAAAGCGUGCGCAGGCGGUGCUGUAAGACAGGCGUGAAAUCCCCGGGCUCAACCUGGGAAUUGCGCUUGUGACUGCAGUGCUGGAGUACGGCAGAGGGGGAUGGAAUUCCGCGUGUAGCAGUGAAAUGCGUAGAUAUGCGGAGGAACACCGAUGGCGAAGGCAGUCCCCUGGGCCUGUACUGACGCUCAUGCACGAAAGCGUGGGGAGCAAACAGGAUUAGAUACCCGAGUAGUCC